UAUAUAUAUAUGUAUAUGUAUAUGUAUAUAUGGGUUUGAUCUUCGUCCUAGUUUAACUGCACCACUGGAAUCUCUAUCUCUAGCCACACCCAUACUGGACUAGUCGCUGAGAUUUUUUCUUUUCAAACAACUAUUAUGGCCUCUGUAACAUCAUCUCAGUCACAUGGCGGCAUCCAUAAGAAUUUCAAGCAAAUCACCCUUAACCGUAAUAAUAUAUAUAUGUAUAUAAUGUUGUUCUUAUAUAUGUUAUGAUUAUAUGUUUCACUGAUUUAUAUCCAACUCAGUGAUAUAAUAAUUGUUAGGGCUGUUGCAUGAAAUUCUAAGAACAGACACCAA